rnacentral:rRNA from 1 species
AGUGAACGCUGGCGGUAGGCCUAACACAUGCAAGUCGAACGGCAGCACAGUAAGAGCUUGCUCUUACGGGUGGCGAGUGGCGGACGGGUGAGGAAUACAUCGGAAUCUACUUUUUCGUGGGGGAUAACGUAGGGAAACUUACGCUAAUACCGCAUACGACCUACGGGUGAAAGCAGGGGAUCUUCGGACCUUGCGCGAUUGAAUGAGCCGAUGUCGGAUUAGCUAGUUGGCGGGGUAAAGGCCCACCAAGGCGACGAUCCGUAGCUGGUCUGAGAGGAUGAUCGGCCACACUGGAACUGAGACACGGUCCAGACUCCUACGGGAGGCAGCAGUGGGGAAUAUUGGACAAAGGGUGCAAGCCUGAUCCAGCCAUACCGCGUGGGUGAAGAAGGCCUUCGGGUUGUAAAGCCCUUUUGUUGGGAAAGAAAAGCAGCAGGUUAAUACCCCGCUGUUCUGACGGUACCCAAAGAAUAAGCACCGGCUAACUUCGUG